GAUGAACGCUGGCGGCGUGCCUAAUACAUGCAAGUCGAGCGAACAGACAAGGAGCUUGCUCCUUUGACGUUAGCGGCGGACGGGUGAGUAACACGUGGGUAACCUACCUAUAAGACUGGGAUAACUUCGGGAAACCGGAGCUAAUACCGGAUAAUAUUUCGAACCGCAUGGUUCGAUAGUGAAAGAUGGUUUUGCUAUCACUUAUAGAUGGACCCGCGCCGUAUUAGCUAGUUGGUAAGGUAACGGCUUACCAAGGCGACGAUACGUAGCCGACCUGAGAGGGUGAUCGGCCACACUGGAACUGAGACACGGUCCAGACUCCUACGGGAGGCAGCAGUAGGGAAUCUUCCGCAAUGGGCGAAAGCCUGACGGAGCAACGCCGCGUGAGUGAUGAAGGUCUUCGGAUCGUAAAACUCUGUUAUUAGGGAAGAACAUACAUGUAAGUAACUAUGCACGUCUUGACGGUACCUAAUCAGAAAGCCACGGCUAACUACGUGCCAGCAGCCGCGGUAAUACGUAGGUGGCAAGCGUUAUCCGGAAUUAUUGGGCGUAAAGCGCGCGUAGGCGGUUUUUUAAGUCUGAUGUGAAAGCCCACGGCUCGACCGUGGAGGGUCAUUGGAAACUGGAAAACUUGAGUGCAGAAGAGGAAAGUGGAAUUCCAUGUGUAGCGGUGAAAUGCGCAGAGAUAUGGAGGAACACCAGUGGCGAAGGCGACUUUCUGGUCUGUAACUGACGCUGAUGUGCGAAAGCGUGGGGAUCAAACAGGAUUAGAUACCCUGGUAGUCCACGCCGUAAACGAUGAGUGCUAAGUGUUAGGGGGUUUCCGCCCCUUAGUGCUGCAGCUAACGCAUUAAGCACUCCGCCUGGGGAGUACGACCGCAAGGUUGAAACUCAAAGGAAUUGACGGGGGCCCGCACAAGCGGUGGAGCAUGUGGUUUAAUUCGAAGCAACGCGAAGAACCUUACCAAAUCUUGACAUCCUUUGACAACUCUAGAGAUAGAGCCUUCCCCUUCGGGGGACAAAGUGACAGGUGGUGCAUGGUUGUCGUCAGCUCGUGUCGUGAGAUGUUGGGUUAAGUCCCGCAACGAGCGCAACCCUUAAGCUUAGUUGCCAUCAUUAAGUUGGGCACUCUAAGUUGACUGCCGGUGACAAACCGGAGGAAGGUGGGGAUGACGUCAAAUCAUCAUGCCCCUUAUGAUUUGGGCUACACACGUGCUACAAUGGACAAUACAAAGGGCAGCGAAACCGCGAGGUCAAGCAAAUCCCAUAAAGUUGUUCUCAGUUCGGAUUGUAGUCUGCAACUCGACUACAUGAAGCUGGAAUCGCUAGUAAUCGUAGAUCAGCAUGCUACGGUGAAUACGUUCCCGGGUCU
rnacentral:rRNA from 1 species